AACUUAGGUGGUUGAUUUGAAACUGUGAAGGUGUGAUUUUUUCAGGAGCUGGAAGUCUUAGAAAAGCCUUGUAAAUGCCUAUAUUGUGGGCUUUUAACGUAUUUAAGGGACCACUUAAGACGAGAUUAGAUGGGCUCUUCUGGAUUUGUUCCUCAUUUGUCACAGGUGUCUUGUGAUUGAAAAUCAUGAGCGAAGUGAAAUUGCAUUGAAUUUCAAGGGAAUUUAGUAUGUAAAUCGUGCCUUAGAAACACAUCUGUUGUCUUUUCUGUGUUUGGUCGAUAUUAAUAAUGGCAAAAUUUUUGCCUAUCUAGUAUCUUCAAAUUGUAGUCUUUGUAACAACCAAAUAACCUUUUGUGGUCACUGUAAAAUUAAUAUUUGGUAGACAGAAUCCAUGUACCUUUGCUAAGGUUAGAAUGAAUAAUUUAUUGUAUUUU
rnacentral:lncRNA from 1 species